rnacentral:rRNA from 1 species
UACGAAGGGGGCUAGCGUUGCUCGGAAUCACUGGGCGUAAAGGGUGCGUAGGCGGGUUUUUAAGUCAGGGGUGAAAUCCUGGAGCUCAACUCCAGAACUGCCUUUGAUACUGAAGAUCUUGAGUCCGGGAGAGGUGAGUGGAACUGCGAGUGUAGAGGUGAAAUUCGUAGAUAUUCGCAAGAACACCAGUGGCGAAGGCGGGUCUCUGGACAGUUCCUGACACUGAGGCACGAAGGCCAGGGGAGCAAACAGG